rnacentral:lncRNA from 1 species
GGAAAUGCAACGCCAUGAGUAGACAUAUAUAAUUGUAGAGAUGGGGAAUGAAUAAACGUGUUUCAAAGAACAAGGAGAAUUCUAAAUGUCAGCAAAGGGGUAUAUGACUCACUCAUUGGGAAAAUACUAUUAUUGGAUACGUAAGUAGGACUGUACAAAGCACUCAGAAGAGGGAUGCUACUAGAAAAAGAAGAAUUAAUAAAUGAAGGUAACAUUUGGAUUCCAGUGACAGAUGGAUCUCUCUCGUGCGCACUUGCUCUUUCCUUCUCUGUAUUUUUGUUUUCGACAUGUUUGAUCCAAAGCUCUGAAGCUUCUCAGAGGGAACCCAGGAAAGAAGGAAGGGAAGGAGUAGAAACCAAGGGAGCGUGAGCGACACAGGAGGCAGCCCUGCCUUGUUCUUCCAAAUCACACUGUGGAGGGGCGGGGGAAGACUAGAGGGGGAGGACUUGG